CAUGUUUUUCUUAUCAAAGCUCCGGCGGUACAGGAUGGACCCGCGUCUGAUUAGCUAGUUGGUGAGGUAAUGGCUCACCAAGGCGACGAUCAGUAGCCGACCUGAGAGGGUGAUCGGCCACAUUGGAACUGAGACACGGUCCAAACUCCUACGGGAGGCAGCAGUGGGGAAUAUUGCACAAUGGGCGAAAGCCUGAUGCAGCAACGCCGCGUGAGCGAUGAAGGCCUUCGGGUCGUAAAGCUCUGUCCUCAAGGAAGAUAAUGACGGUACUUGAGGAGGAAGCCCCGGCUAACUACGUGCCAGCAGCCGCGGUAAUACGUAGGGGGCUAGCGUUAUCCGGAUUUACUGGGCGUAAAGGGUGCGUAGGCGGUCUUUUAAGUCAGGAGUGAAAGGCUACGGCUCAACCGUAGUAAGCUCUUGAAACUGGAGGACUUGAGUGCAGGAGAGGAGAGUGGGAUUCCUAGUGUAGCGGUGAAAUGCGUAGAUAUUAGGAGGAACACCAGUAGCGAAGGCGGCUCUCUGGACUGUAACUGACGCUGAGGCACGAAAGCGUGGGGAGCAAACAGGAUUAGAUACCCUGGUAGUCCACGCCGUAAACGAUGAGUACUAGCUGUCGGAGGUUACCCCCUUCGGUGGCGCAG
rnacentral:rRNA from 1 species